rnacentral:rRNA from 1 species
CCUACGGGGGGCAGCAGUGGGGGAUAUUGCACAAUGGGGGAAACCCUGAUGCAGCGACGCCGCGUGGGUGAAGAAGCGCCUCGGCGCGUAAAGCCCUGUCAGCAGGGAAGAAAAUGACGGUACCUGAAGAAGAAGCCCCGGCUAACUACGGGCCAGCAGCCGCGGUAAGACGUAGGGGGCAAGCGUUAUCCGGAUUUACGGGGUGUAAAGGGGGCGCAGACGGGGAUGCAAGCCAGGAGUGAAAGCCUGGGGCCCAACCCCGGGACUGCUCUUGGAACUGCGUGGCUAGAGUGCAGGAGGGGCAGGCGGAAUGCGUGGGGUAGCGGUGAAAUGCGUAGAUAUAAGGAGGAACACCGUUGGCGAAGGCGGCCUG